AGUGAACGCUGGCGGUAGGCCUAACACAUGCAAGUCGAACGGCAGCACAGUAAGAGCUUGCUCUUACGGGUGGCGAGUGGCGGACGGGUGAGGAGUACAUCGGAAUCUACUUUUUCGUGGGGGAUAACGUAGGGAAACUUACGCUACUACCGCAUACGACCUACGGGUGAAAGCAGGGGAUCUUCGGACCUUGCGCGAUUGAAUGAGCCGAUGUCGGAUUAGCUAGUUGGCGGGGUAAAGGCCCACCAAGGCGACGAUCCGUAGCUGGUCUGAGAGGAUGAUCAGCCACACUGGAACUGAGACACGGUCCAGACUCCUACGGGAGGCAGCAGUGGGGAAUAUUGGACAAUGGGCGCAAGCCUGAUCCAGCCAUACCGCGUGGGUGAAGAAGGCCUUCGGGUUGUAAAGCCCUUUUGUUGGGAAAGAAAAGCAGCAGGUUAAUACCCCGCUGUUCUGACGGUACCCAAAGAAUAAGCACCGGCUAACUUCGUG
rnacentral:rRNA from 1 species